AGAAAAAACUUGGAGUAAAACAGGGCUGCUAACUUUGUUUUGGGUAAUUCAAUUUUAUCCUUUUUCUU
rnacentral:tRNA from 21 species